GUCCCUAUCGUCUAGAGGCCUAGGACAUCGCCCUUUCACGGCGGUAACCGGGGUUCGAAUCCCGUAGGGACGCCA
rnacentral:tRNA from 3 species